rnacentral:rRNA from 1 species
GACGAACGCUGGCGGCGUGCUUAACACAUGCAAGUCGAACGGAAAGGCCCUGCUUUUUUGGGGUGCUCGAGUGGCGAACGGGUGAGUAACACGUGAGUAACCUGCCCUGGACUUUGGGAUAACUUCAGGAAACUGGGGCUAAUACCGGAUAGGAGCUCCUGGUGCAUGGUGGGGGUUGGAAAGUUUCGGCGGUUGGGGAUGGACUCGCGGCGUAUCAGCUUGUUGGUGGGGUAGUGGCUUACCUAGGCUUUGACGGGUAGCCGGCCUGAGAGGGAUACGGGCCCCAUUGGGACUGAGACACGGCCCAGACGCCUACGGGAGGGCACAGUGGGGAAUAUUGCACUAUGGGCGGAAGCCUGAUGCAGCAACGCCGCGUGCGGGAUGACGGCCUUCGGGUUGUAAACCGCUUUCGCCUGUGACGAAGCGUGAGUGACGGUAAUGGGUAAAGAAGCACCGGCUAACUACGUG